CGGAUACUGUCUUGCGCGUCAGGUUAGCGAUGCCCAGGGGCCUUAAUGGUACUCACCGGGAGCUGUCCCUGACCGGGGCCGUGGUCCUGGUCAUAUGGCGCCCACCUGCACUGCAGGCCCGUGAGGAUCCAAACACCAACGGCAAGUACGGUUCCGUC
rfam:Alphaproteobacteria bacterium 65-7 SCNpilot_expt_1000_bf_scaffold_15511, whole genome shotgun sequence.